GGAAUCUUUCUUGACAUGGAGUUAAAACUCAUAACAUAUCUUUAAUCAUAAAUGAUCCAUAGAAUCAAAACAUAAAUGACAAAUCUUUUCUAACUUUCCCGAGAUAGCUUCCUCAACUCGUUCUCAGGAUUUUAUUCCGAUGCUAUUAGUCUUGGCUUGAGGCGUUUGGUCAGCUGCGGAAAAUUGUGGACCACUGAUAUCAUGCAUGCGUUGGUUGUUCUUGUCUUUCAUCAAUUGGAAGGUGUCACACGAGUCCCAUUAAAGAUUUGAUAUCAAAUACUAUUUUGUUGCGUACAGCCAUUCAAUGCGUCGUAAAUUCUCGUAGAAAUUCUUCGAGGAAAUUCCUCUCCUCCACCCGCCGACGCCGGCGCCUGCAGCCGCCACAUUUCCACCGCGUCUCCCUCAUCUCUCUCCCUCGCCUCUAUGUCAUUUCUCUCUCUCUCUCUCUC
rnacentral:lncRNA from 1 species